CUAAGUUAAUCUCUAAGUCUAAUGUGCUAAGCAAGGAUUGGGCUUGUAGAUUAACUUGGAU
rnacentral:miRNA from 1 species